AAACGCUGACAGCCUGUUUCUGGGCGAGCAGGGCGGACAGGCUCCGCUUUAGGAACAGACGCUUCUUCUUACGGACACCAUUUACCUUUACGGGCGAGUCCUCUCGACAGAGAGGAGGCGAGUGCAAAUGGACACGCUCAUCCAUGUAAAAGUGCAGAUUUGGAUCCGGCUGCGCGUAUGCACAUGCUAUGGAUCUGCUGCACCGACACGAAGAGCAAAUGCAAGAACAAAUGCCCACAGACACUGCCAGGAUGGCGUCUAGAAGACAGACGGAUGGAUACAAGUAAUAUUACAUCAUCUAAAGGUGUGGCUUAUUGUCUCUCUGUUAGCCUGAGUCUGAAUUAAACUGCUCUCGGUUCCAUACUUAACCA